GACGACUAGUUUUGUAAUGGGGAAGGAGAGGGAGGUCUGACACAAAGACACGCAGAGAAGGCAGCCAUGUGAAGACAAGGCAAAGAUUGGAGUUCCUUAGCAAGAAACCAAGGAACACCCACGGUUGGCAGAAGCCACCAAAACCCAGGAGAGAGGCGUGGGAGAGACUCUCCUGUAGAGCCUCCAGUGGGAACCAACCCUGCCGCACCUUGACUUCAGACUUCUGGUCUCCAGAAUUGUGACGGAAUAAAUUUCUGUUGUUUUG
rnacentral:lncRNA from 1 species